GCCAAGUUAAGGAAGGCAGAAAGAAAUUUCCAAUGAACAGUGUUUGGAUUAAGCCUUCCAAUGGCCUAUAUAUUUACCAGUUGAGAAAUUUAUAGUGGAACUUCGCCGACCUGAAAUCUCAAUUCCUACUUCGGCACUCUCUAGGAAAAUCACAGAGAAGCUUUCCGUCAUUAAACGUCUCAGCACAAAAUAUAUUGAAGGGUUUCGGUGGGUCUACAAAGCUGGUAGACUGAAGAUUUUCCGUAGAAGCUCUUACACCAGCCACUGAGGGACCUAUCUAUCCAUGUGGGUAAUGCAAUUAUCAAUUUUUUAGCAAUUAAUAUGAGAAAAUUUUACCCGAAUUAUUUCCUUUUCUUUUAUUGAAGUGAACUAAGUUUACAAUCUA